rnacentral:rRNA from 1 species
GACGAACGCUGGCGGCGUGCUUAACACAUGCAAGUCGAACGAUGAACCCGGAGUUUGCUCCGGCGGAUUAGUGGCGAACGGGUGAGUAACACGUGAGUAACCUGCCCUUGACUCUGGGAUAACUGCUAGAAAUGGUAGCUAAUACCGGAUACGACCCUCGGCGGCAUCGCCAGGGGGUGGAAAGAAUUUCGGUCAAGGAUGGACUCGCGGCCUAUCAGCUAGUUGGUGAGGUAACGGCUCACCAAGGCGACGACGGGUAGCCGGCCUGAGAGGGUGACCGGCCACACUGGGACUGAGACACGGCCCAGACUCCUACGGGAGGCAGCAGUGGGGAAUAUUGCACAAUGGGCGCAAGCCUGAUGCAGCAACGCCGCGUGAGGGAUGACGGCCUUCGGGUUGUAAACCUCUUUUAGUAGGGAAGAAGCGAAAGUGACGGUACCUGCAGAAAAAGCACCGGCUAACUACGUGCCAGCAGCCGCAGUAA